UACGGAGGGUGCAAGCGUUAAUCGGAAUUACUGGGCGUAAAGCGCACGUAGGCGGCCUUUUAAGUCAGAUGUGAAAUCCCCGGGCUUAACCUGGGAACUGCAUCUGAUACUGGAAGGCUAGAAUCUGGGAGAGGGGAGUAGAAUUUCCGGUGUAGCGGUGAAAUGCAUAGAGAUCGGAAGGAAUACCAGUGGCGAAGGCGACUCCCUGGACCAAGAUUGACGCUGAGGUGCGAAAGCGUGGGUAGCAAACAGG
rnacentral:rRNA from 1 species